rnacentral:rRNA from 1 species
CCUACGGGAGGCAGCAGUGAGGAAUAUUGGUCAAUGGGCGAGAGCCUGAACCAGCCAAGUCGCGUGAGGGAGUACUGCCCUAUGGGUUGUAAACCUCUUUUGUCGGGGAGCAAAAGCCGGACGUGUCCGGCUGUGAGAGUACCCGAAGAAAAAGCAUCUGCUAACUCCGUGCCAGCAGCCGCGGUAAUACGGAGGGUGCGAGCGUUAUCCGGAUUUAUUGGGUUUAAAGGGUGCGCAGGCGGAUUUUUAAGUCAGCGGUAAAAUCGUGGGGCUCAACCCCAUCCAGCCGUUGAAACUGGGGAUCUAGAGUGUGCGAGAGGUAUGCGGAAUGCGUGGUGUAGCGGUGAAAUGCAUAGAUAUCACGCAGAACCCCGAUUGCGAAGGCAGCAUACCGGUGCACAACUGACGCUCAGGCACGAAAGCGUGGGUAUCGAACAGGAUUAGAUACCCUUGUAGUC